CCUACGGGCGGCAGCAGUGAGGAAUAUUGGUCAAUGGCCGUAAGGCUGAACCAGCCAAGUAGCGUGAGGGAAGACUGCCCUAUGGGUUGUAAACCUCUUUUAUGCGGGGAUAAAGGUGUCCACGUGUGGAUGUUUGCAGGUACCGCAUGAAUAAGGACCGGCUAAUUCCGUGCCAGUAGCCGCGGUAAUACGGAAGGUCCGGGCGUUAUCCGGAUUUAUUGGGUUUAAAGGGAGCGUAGGCCGGUCUUUAAGCGUGCCGGGAAAUUUUGUGGCUCAACCAUGAGAGUGCGGCGCGAACUGGAGACCUUGAGUGCGCGGAAGGCAGGCGGAAUUCGUGGGGUAGCGGUGAAAUGCUUAGAUAUCACGAAGAACCCCGAUUGCGAAGGCAGCCUGCCGCAGCGUUACUGACGCUGAAGCUCGAAAGCGCGGGUAUCGAACAGGAUUAGAUACCCUAGUAGUC
rnacentral:rRNA from 1 species